GCCUUCAUCGUCUAACGGAAGGACUACUGCCUUGUAAGCAGUGUAUGGUGGUUCAAAUCCAUCUGGAGGCU
rnacentral:tRNA from 1 species